AAAAUAAAGAUUAAAAAAAAAGACAAAAGAAAAGCAAAAACCCUACUCUGUUUCUCUCUGUCUCUCUGUUCCACUGUCAGUAGCCGUUGCCUCCCGCUCCGGCGGCGCAGCUAUUCAAAUACCAUUUCUCUACUGCUUGUCCAGUUGCUUGUUGAGUCUCUCCUCAAUCUUUACUUAUCUUUGGUUGGUACUUGACACAACAUUUCUGUCAAAAUGAAGAAAAUGAUAGCCCUUGGUUUUGAAGGAUCAGCCAACAAGAUUGGUGUUGGGGUUGUGACAUUAGAUGGCACCAUUUUGUCAAACCCACGCCACACCUACAUUACACCACCUGGCCAAGGAUUCCUUCCACGAGAAACUGCUCAACACCAUCUCCAGCAUGUGCUUCCACUGAUUAAAUCGGCUUUAAAAACAGCCCAAAUUACCCCUGAUGAAAUCGACUGCCUUUGUUACACCAAGGGUCCCGGUAUGGGUGCACCGCUACAAGUUUCUGCCAUUGUUGUUAGGGUUCUUUCAUUGCUAUGGAAGAAGCCCGUUGUUGCAGUUAAUCACUGUGUUGCACAUAUUGAGAUGGGAAGGAUUGUAACUGGUGCAGAUGAUCCAGUUGUGUUGUAUGUUAGUGGUGGGAAUACUCAGGUUAUAGCGUAUAGUGAAGGGCGAUACAGAAUCUUUGGGGAGACUAUUGACAUUGCUGUUGGGAAUUGCUUGGAUCGGUUUGCUAGAGUUUUAACCCUCUCAAAUGAUCCAAGCCCUGGAUAUAACAUUGAGCAGCUGGCAAAGAAAGGAGAAAAGUUUAUAGAUCUUCCAUACGUGGUCAAAGGGAUGGAUGUAUCCUUUAGUGGAAUAUUGAGCUACAUUGAAGCUACUGCAGAGGAGAAGCUAAAAAAUAAUGAAUGCACCCCUGCAGAUUUGUGCUACUCCCUUCAGGAAACUCUAUUUGCAAUGCUUGUGGAGAUUACAGAGCGUGCUAUGGCUCACUGUGAUACGAAAGAUGUUCUCAUAGUUGGUGGUGUGGGUUGCAAUGAGCGCUUGCAAGAGAUGAUGAGGACAAUGUGUUCUGAACGAGGUGGUAGAUUGUUUGCAACUGAUGACAGGUACUGCAUUGACAAUGGAGCAAUGAUAGCAUAUACAGGUCUCCUUGCCUUUGCUCAUGGGUCAUCAACACCACUUGAGGAGACGACAUUCACCCAGCGUUUUCGGACUGAUGAGGUGCAUGCAAUCUGGAGGGAGAAACAUGAGUCAGGUGACAUGAAUGGUCUUGUGGAGGGAUGAAUUUAAAUUGCUAUUAAGGUUUCAGUGCUUGUUGCAUGUCCCAACUCUGGAUCUUGAAGGGAGGGACUGGUGAUUAUGGUACUGCUCGACUGGUUACUCAUCUACCUCAAAGGAUUCCAAAUCAAUCAUUCCAUCGCUUAAUGACAUGUAACAUGAUGCUGUAAUUAUGUGAUCAGUAGUCAUGAUCAUUUCUUUAGCAAUAAAUUUUGACUGUUUGGUAGUUGCAUGUUGGUGUAGCUUUUUUUUGAAUGAAUGGCACUGCAAUUUAUCCAAUUGUUUUUUAUUGUUAGUGUUAAA